rnacentral:rRNA from 1 species
CUUUUGGGAGAUUUCAACUUUACUCUUAGGCCCUCUGAUCGCUCUAACGACAACUUCAAUCAUCUCGAAGCAGCUAUGUUUUCCUCUACCCUUAACCUCCUCCAUCUUCAGGAGCUUCCUCUUCUCGACAGGCUCUUUACGUGGUCUAAUCAACAAGAUUCUCCUAUUUUAGUUCACCUUGAUAGGGUUUUUGUCAACACCGACUGA